GAUGAACGCUAGCGACAGGCUUAACACAUGCAAGUCGAGGGGCAGCACAGGUAGCAAUACCGGGUGGCGACCGGCGCACGGGUGAGUAACGCGUAUGCAACUUACCUAUCAGAGGGGGAUAACCCGGCGAAAGUCGGACUAAUACCGCAUGAAGCAGGGGUCCCGCAUGGGGAUAUUUGCUAAAGAUUCAUCGCUGAUAGAUAGGCAUGCGUUCCAUUAGGCAGUUGGCGGGGUAACGGCCCACCAAACCGACGAUGGAUAGGGGUUCUGAGAGGAAGGUCCCCCACAUUGGUACUGCGACACGGACCAAACUCCUACGGGAGGCAGCAGUGAGGAAUAUUGGUCAAUGGCCGAGAGUCUGAACCAGCCAAGUCGCGUGAGGGAUGAAGGUUCUAUGGAUCGUAAACCUCUUUUAUAAGGGAAUAAAGUGCGGGACGUGUCCCGUUUUGUAUGUACCUUAUGAAUAAGGAUCGGCUAACUCCGUG
rnacentral:rRNA from 1 species